rnacentral:rRNA from 1 species
AAGGGGCAGUAAGGCGUGGGUAACCCACCCCGGGGACUGGUAUAGCCCUUCGAGAGAAGGGGUAAUCCCGGGCGACGUGUCGAGGGGGCAUCUCCUUGCCACCAAAUGAAUUUCGCCCCGGGAGGGGCCCACGUGAUAUUAGCUAGUUGGUAGGGUAACGGCCUACCAAGGCGAAGAUGUCUAGCGGGUGUGAGAGCACGACCCGCGCCACUGGCACUGAGACACUGGCCAGACACCUACGGGUGGCUGCAGUCGAGGAUCUUCGGCAAUGGGCGCAAGCCUGACCGAGCGACGCCGCGUGGGCGAUGAAGGCCUCCGGGUUGUAAAGCCCUGUCGAGGGGGAGAAAGUGGAAACUUGAUCUAUCCCUGGAGGAAGCACGGGCUAAGUUCGUGCCAGCAGCCGCGGUAAGACGAACCGUGCGAACGUUGUUCGGAAUCACUGGGCUUAAAGGGCGCGUAGGCGGGCCGCCAAGUCCGCGGUGAAAUCCCCCGGCUCAACCGGGGAACUGCCGCGGAUACUGGAGGUCUCGAGGGGGGUAGGGGCAUGCGGAACUGCGGGUGGAGCGGUGAAAUGCGUUGA